GCUGAUGUAACUCAAUUGGUAGAGGGAUUGCCUUGUAAGCAAUAGGCUGUGAGUUCAAGUCUCACCAUCAGCUCCA
rnacentral:tRNA from 1 species